UCACAAAACUGGAGCCUCUACAAACUCUGAAGAUCCAGAAGUUCAAGUUUGCCAACCUUUAAAGUCUUACCUCAAAAGAACUCAAAUGGUGCGUCUUGACAACGUUUCUGGCAUUUGGGGAAAAGGAGAGAAACAGGGAAGUCCCGGCAAAUUGGUACGUAAUUGUGUCAGAAAAUAUUAUUGUAUACGGAGAGACACACAACUGUAGGGUCCAAGAGGUGCUAAAGGUGACACUGGUCCGGUAGGCCCGAAAGGAAGCAAGGUAAUCUGUAACUUAAUAUACGUAUCUAAUCUAGGUUGAUGGAUCUAGUAAAGUGCAAGUUGGAGUGAGCUUACUUACAGGGAGACGUCGGUGCGCCUGGAGUUGUCAAACCUGUGUCAUCACUCAACAACUUGCCUUCGUGUGGAGCAUCAAAUCGUGGUUCACUUCGUCUCCUGCCUGUCUCCGUAAAGUCUGCGCUUAGGAGA